AGCGAACGCUGGCGGCAGGCUUAACACAUGCAAGUCGAGCGCCGUAGCAAUACGGAGCGGCAGACGGGAGAGUAACACGCGCGAACGUACCCCUUGGUUCGGAAUAACUCCGGGAAACUAGAGCUAAUACCGGAUACGUCGGCAACGAGAAAGAUUUAUCGCCGAGGGAUCGGCCUGCGUCCGAUUAGCUAGUUGGUGUGGUAAUGGCGCACCAAGGCGACGAUCGGUAGCUGGUCUGAGAGGAUGAUCAGCCUCACUGGGACUGUGACACGGCCCAGACUCCUACGGGAGGCAGCAGUGGGGAAUAUUGGACAAUGGGCGCAAGCCUGAUCCAGCCAUGCCGCGUGGGUGAUGAAGGCCUUAGGGUUGCAAAGCCCUUUCGGCGGGGAAGAUAAUGACGGUACCCGCAGAAGAAGCCCCGGCUAACUUCGUGCCAGCCGCCGCGGUAACAC
rnacentral:rRNA from 1 species